AGCAGCCGCGGUAAUUCCAGCCCCAAUAGCGUAUAUUAAAGUUGUUGCAGUUAAAAAGCUCGUAGUUGAAUUUCGAGGUCAGUACGCUGGUCGUGCCUUCGGUAUGCACUGGUGUCACUGGUUUCUCCCUUCUGAAGAACCGUCAUGUCAUUAGGUUGGUGUGGCGGGGAAUCAGGACUGUUACUUUGAAAAAAUUAGAGUGUUUAAAGCAGGCUCGCGCUUGAAUACAUUAGCAUGGAAUAAUGAAAUAGGACGUUUGACCCUAUUUUGUUGGUUUCUAGGAUCGACGUAAUGAUUAAUAGGGAUAGUUGGGGGCAUUAGUAUUCAAUUGUCAGAGGUGAAAUUCUUGGAUUUAUUGAAGACUAACUACUGCGAAAGCAUUUGCCAAGGAUGUUUUCAUUAAUCAAGAACGAAAGUUAGGGGAUCGAAGACGAUCAGAUACCGUCGUAG
rnacentral:rRNA from 1 species